rnacentral:rRNA from 1 species
GACGAACCGUGCGAACGUUAUUCGGAAUCAUUGGGCUUAAAGGGCGCGUAGGCGGGCGACCGCGUUGAGUGCUGAAAGCCCCCGGCUCAACCGGGGAACGGGCCUCGAAACGGGUCGCCUCGAGGCGAGGAGGGGGACCUGGAACUUCCGGUGGAGCGGUGAAAUGCGUUGAGAUCGGAAGGAACGCCAACGGCGAAAGCAAGGUCCUGGACUCGUCCUGACGCUGAGGCGCGAAAGCCAGGGGAGCGAACGGG